UACGUAGGGGGCAAGCGUUGUCCGGAUUCAUUGGGCGUAAAGAGCGUGUAGGCGGCCAGGUAGGUCGGUUGUGAAAACUGGAGGCUCAACCUUCAGAGGUCGACCGAAACCAUCUGGCUAGAGUCCGGGAGAGGAGAGUGGAAUUCCUGGUGUAGCGGUGAAAUGCGCAGAUAUCAGGAAGAACACCGGUGGCGAAGGCGGUUCUCUGGGCAUUACCUGACGCUGAGGAGCGAAAGUGUGGGGAGCGAACAGG
rnacentral:rRNA from 1 species